rnacentral:lncRNA from 1 species
AGAAUUAGUGAAUCGUCAUUCACUUACCUUCAAUUUAUUUGCAUGUUAGAUUACGGCAUCCCUUUUCUAGUAUGUAAAUGUUAUUGUUGGAUCCUAGCCCUAAUUUUCUUAUUGGGUGAUAAUUAGGGAUUCUUAUUCUAAUCUAUCUUUGUCCUUUUCUAAUUGUAGAUGUCGAACGCAAACAACGCUGCUGCUAGUUCUUUCACGUUGAUGAGCCUUUGCCAAAAGGUCACCUUCGAUGGAACGAACUUUAGCGAAUGGAUAAGAUACAUUCGCACCAUUGCUCGCUAUGAGGAUAAGGAGUAUGUCCUCGAUGAGAAGCUCGAGAAAAUCAACCCCGAAAUUGCUACUCCCGCCGAAAUCACCGCCUUUGAAACUCAUGAGCGAGAUGCAACGAAGGUACAUUGCAUCAUGAUCGCCACCAUGAACUCCGAAUUCCAAAAGUCCUACGAGGACAUGUACCCGUACGAGAUGCAUCAAGACUUAUUGGAGAGGUACCACCAAAACGCGAGACAAGAGAGGUACGAGAUUUUCACUAACAUGAUUUCCGCGAAGAUGGGUCAUGGAGAAUCUCUUACCGUGCACUUGCAAAAGAUGCAAAGGUAUGUUGACCGCCUCCGCAAGUUAAAUGUUGACUUCGGUGAAGACUUGGCGAUCGACAUGGUGCUUCACUCUUUGCCUCCGAUGUACAACCAAUUUAGGAUGACCUACCACAUGAACAAAGAAGAGGUCACCCUAAGCAAGCUCCAAGGUCUCUUGAGGGUUGCUGAGAGCAACUUCAAAGACAAGUCUGUUGCACCUACUCCCAAUCCGCCCGCUGCUCCUGUCUUGGCUAUUGGACAAGGGAAGGGAAAGAAGAGGAAAGCUUCAUCGAAGAACUAUCGCAAGGUGAAAGCCCGAGAUGGUGCCUCUUCUAGUGGGACCAAAGUUGAUCCCGCCAAGCCCUGCUCUAACCCGAAGGAGGCAGAGUGCCACCACUGCCACAAGAUAGGACAUUGGAAGAGAAGCUGCCCGGAUUACCUGCAAGCAAUCAAAGAAGGAAAGAUCAAGCCAUCUUUCGCAGGUAUAUAUACAAUCAAAUCUAACGAUUCUAAUCAUGCUAUUUCUUGGGUUCUUGAUACCGGUUGUGGUUAUCACAUUUGUUCUAAUGUGCAGGGACUAAGAAGAAGUAGGGAUGUGGAGCAAGGAAGGAUCAAUCUAAUCAUGGGGAACAGAAGAUCGUCGCCUGUGACCAAGAUUGGAGUGUAUUCCUUAGUGCUUAGGAAUAGUUUAGUUUUAGAUUUGAACAAUUGUUGCUAUUCGCCAGAAAUGGCAAGAAACAUCAUUUCAUUUCAUGGUUUAUAUAGACAAGGAUUUAGAUUUUCUUUUAAUAAUGAGAAUGGUUCUAUUUUGGCUUAUCUAAAUGGUGUCUUUUACUUUGAAGCUAUACCAUGUAAUGGAAUAUAUGAAACCGUUAUGAUUGUUGAUAACUUAGGAAAUGAUGUUUUGAAUAUUGAUUCUUCCACUAGUAUGGAUAAAGCAUCCUUGUGGCAUUGUCGUCUUGGACAUGUCAACAAGAAACGCAUAGCCCAACUCCAAAAGGAUGGAGUGUUGGAGUCAUUCGACCUUAGGGAAGAUGACACAUGCGAGUCUUGUUUGCUUGGAAAGAUGACUAAGUCACCCUUCACGAGUACAUGUGAAAGGGGCGAGGGUCUAUUGGACCUAAUACAUACCGAUGUAUGUGGACCGUUUAGAUCAACCACGAAGGAUGGGAACCGCUUCUAUGUGACUUUUACCGAUGACUAUAGUAGAUAUGGGUAUAUCUACUUAAUCAAGCAAAAGUCAGAAACCUUUGAAAAGUUCAAAGAGUUCAAGAAUGAAGUGGAGAAUCAAUUGGGCAGGAAAAUCAAGAUGCUUCGAUCCGAUCGAGGAGGAGAGUACCUAAGUCUUGAAUUCCACGAUUAUCUCAAGGAGUGUGGAAUAGUUUCACAAUUGACGCCUCCUAGGACACCGCAGUUGAAUGGUGUGGCAGAAAGGCGUAAUCGAACCUUAUUGGAUAUGGUUCGCUCUAUGAUGAGUCGUGCUUCACUACCAAUCUCUUUUUGGGGGUAUGCCUUAGAGACUGCCGCCCAUAUCCUUAACCGAGUCCCUACUAAGAAGGUUGCCAAAACACCUCACGAGAUGUGGACAGGGAAAGCUCCCUCGUUAGCACAUAUCAAGGUUUGGGGUUGCGAGGCUUUCGUAAGACGAGAUACUCACGACAAGCUCGAACCUCGAAGUGAGCGAUGUAUUUUCAUCGGCUACCCGCAGACAUCCUUUGGAUAUCUCUUCUAUAGACCGAAGGACAAUGUUGUCUUUGUUGCGAGGAGAGGAGUUUUCCGAGAGCGAGAACUCAUAAGCCAAGGAGACAGUGGGAGGCAAAUCGAGCUUGAAGAGAUUCAAGAGUCGAUAGAUGAAGGAACCUCUACCGCUGGCACUCAACCCGAGGAGGAAACUCCGGUUGAACCGAUUGACGAGUCCUUACCUCUUAGACGUUCCGAAAGAGUUAGAGUUCAACCCCAGUUUUAUGGUUUUCAUAUUACUACCGAAGGGGACACGUAUAUUAGUGAUGUUACACUAAUAAACCUUGAUGAACCUAAUAGCUAUAAGGAAGCCAUGGUAGGCCCGGAGUAUGCAACAUGGAAAGAGGCAAUGGAUAGCGUGAUCCAAUUCAUGUAUGAUAACCAAGUUUGGAAUUUGGUUGAUAAUGUGCCCGGACGUAAGACCGUUCGGUGCAAAAGGAUCUUCAAGAAGAAGACCGACGUGGAUGGAAACAUACACUCAUAUAAAACGCGAUUGGUCGCGAAGGGCUUUACUCAAACUCCCGGAGUUGACUAUGACGAGACCUUCUCACCAGUUGCGAAGACAAAAUCUAAUAGAGUGAUGCUAGCGAUUGUCGCAUUUCAUGAUUACGAGAUUUGGCAAAUGGAUGUCAAGNNNNNNNNNNNNNNNNNNNNNNNNNNNNNNNNNNNNNNNNNNNNNNNNNNNNNNNNNNNNNNNNNNNNNNNNNNNNNNNNNNNNNNNNNNNNNNNNNNNNCAUUAAAAGUAUAAUAUGAAAUACAAAGUAACUACAUGUUUUUAUAAAAAUUUCCCAAUCUUAGUUUCUUUAGGAAAAGUGAAUUGAUGCCAUCCCAUGAAAUUACACUUUGCACCCUUGCUAAGAAGUUAGUGGAGCGUGUGUGGUUUACCGGCACACUAAUUGGUUCUAAGCAAAGGAGGCGAAGGGUGAUUCAUUGUUUAUCAUAGUUCGAUGGAGCGUGUGUGGUUUACCGGCACAUCGAAUAGGUGAUUGUUACAAUGAAGGCACCAUGUGAAUUUGCAUGGUAAUUCACACCCACUUUGUGAUCCUCGGUAUCCCAGUCACAAACGAGAGGGGCAUAUCGAGAUUUAAACAUGCCAUUGAAAAGUUUCAAUGAAUCUCAUCCAAUCCUAGGAAUUCUCAAUACAUUUAGAACCUAAAGUUAUGGUGGAGAAUUAGUGAAUCAUCAUUCACUUACCUUCAAAUUGUUUGCAUGUUAGAUUACGGCAUCCCUUUUCUAAUAUGUAAAUAUUGUUGUUGGAUCCUAGCCCUAUUUUUUCUUAUUGGGUGAUAAUUAGGGAUUCAUAUUCUAAUCUAUCUUUGUCCUUUCUAUUUGUAGAUGUUGAACGCAAACAAUGUUGCUAGUUCUUUCACAUUGAUGAGCCUUUGUC